GUCUUUGUGGCUCAGCUGGUAGAGCGUUGGUCUCAUAUUAUCGUUAUAUAUGACUCGGGAAGUUAGCCAGGGAUAUCCAAAGGUCGCAAGUUCGAGCCUUGCCAGGGACA